rnacentral:rRNA from 1 species
UAGGGAAUCUUCCACAAUGGGCGAAAGCCUGAUGGAGCAACGCCGCGUGUGUGAUGAAGGGUUUCGGCUCGUAAAACACUGUUGUAAGAGAAGAAUGACAUUGAGAGUAACUGUUCAAUGUGUGACGGUAUCUUACAGAAGGACGGCUAAAUCGUGCCA